AGAUAAAAAAAGACCCAAAACUAUUCCAAUUGUUCUGGGUCUAGGGGAAUGGCUCUUUGCAGAGCCGUGCGCUACUGUUUGAGAUUGCCUCGAAUUUCAUCUCAGGCUUUUAGUGUAGUCAAACUCCACCUCACUGCCGGACU
rnacentral:sRNA from 1 species